GAGGCCUAUAACCUCACGGUGCUGAUCGAGAUGGACGGGCACCGUGCCCUGCUCAGGACGGAGGCCGGGGCCUUCGAGUACGUGCCUGACCCCACCUUUGAGAACUUCACAGGAGGCGUCAAGAAGCAGGUCAACAAGCUCAUCCACGCCCGGGUGAGGACGGUGCAGCCCCGGGGGUCCGGGUCCUGCUCGGGUCUGGGCUGAGAGCUGGUCCACCUGCCCCUGGUUCCCUCUUGCUCACCCCGACCGCUUCCCCCUCCCCAGGGCACCAAUCUGAACAAGGCGAUGACGCUGCAGGAGGCCGAGGCCUUCGUGGGUGCCGAGCGCUGCACCAUGAAGACGCUGACGGAGACCGACCUGUACUGUGAGCCCCCGGAGGUGCAGCCCCCGCCCAAGCGGCGGCAGAAACGAGACACCACACACAACCUGCCCGAGUUCAUUGUGCGUGAGCGGGGGCGGGCGGGGGGUGCCCCCACGGGACCGCGCUGAACCCGGCCCCCCACACAGGUGAAGUUCGGCUCUCGCGAGUGGGUGCUGGGCCGCGUGGAGUACGACACACGGGUGAGCGACGUGCCGCUCAGCCUCAUCUUGCCGCUGGUCAUUGUACCCAUGGUGGUCGUCAUCGCGGUGUCUGUCUACUGCUACUGGAGGAAGAGCCAGCAGGCCGAACGAGAGUAUGAGAAGAUCAAGUCCCAGCUGGAGGGCCUGGA
rnacentral:sRNA from 1 species